GCUGGAAUGGUCUAGUUGGUUAUGACGACUGCCUAUCACGCAGUAGGUCCCGAGUUCGAUUCUCGGUUCCAGUA
rnacentral:tRNA from 1 species